CAUCAACAAUCCUUUGACAUUCUACUCUUCAUGCAUCACGGUGGGAAUAGAUGGGGGAUAAAGGAUGUGCAAUGAAAUCCAAUUUCAGGAGGUUAUCCAUGAGCUCAAAUAUUGGCUUUUAAGGAUGAUAGACACAAGUGGCUCCUAUAUAAUUAUUCUUCAUAUCAACUACCAAAGACUUCAUAUAUGUCAUGCCUUCUACUAGAUAAGCAACAACUUGUACGCUACCCUCGAAGCCUUGAGAAUAAGUGUUGAGGAUUCACUUUCGUACUUACAGUCGUCAUAAAGGGGUGGGGG
rnacentral:lncRNA from 1 species